CCUGCUUUUGAAAUCCCCCAACAUGUGUGUAUGUGUGUUCUCCUGUUUUCUUAAAGCCUCCCUGAUGGCAGGGGACAAGUGGCUGCUAGACAAGCCUGGUAGGGGCCAGGGUGUGGAAAGCCCAUUCCCCCCCUACUCAUGGACCACCAUAGUUCCCUUGUGAUGGGCUGUUUAGGGGGUUUCCAGAUUUCUGUCAGGGAACACCCUGCGUGGAUGUCUUAGCUGCAUCCCUGGUUCCUUCCUUAGGACAGAUUCUGGGACUGGGGUUGCUGAGACCAGUAUAGACACUGAGAGGCUCCGGACACCGCCCCACAUCCUCCCCACAGCUGCUCUCCAGCCCCACUCCCACUGGCAGCCUGGACUUCUCAGCUUGGCAGAAAGCCGGGGGCAGUAUUCCACCUCCUCCAGAGAAAAGCCUUGUCUACACCCAAGGCCUCACUGAUUCCAUCCAACGCUGAAAAUACCCAUUUACUCAGCUAUUUCUCCACGUUAUGGUCUAAGGCCCAGAUGCUUAGUUCCAACCAAAAUAGCCACAGAGGUCACUGUGGUCUGAGGGUCCUCUGGACCUCAGGCCUGUGUAGACAUCAUACUUGGUAAUAAUUAACCCACGGAGCUCACCACGUGCCAGACCCUCUGCGUCUCUGUGUGUCCUCACGGUAACCCUGAAGCUAGGGAUGGCUGUCUCCCAUCUUACAGGUGAGAACACUGAGGGUGCUCCAGAGAGCUGUGGGCCCUAGGCCUUGUCACCUGGGGGUGCAAAGGCGCUGCCCCAGUAGUCCGGCUGCCUGCUACCUGGCUGCCUGCUACCCAAUGGGGCAAAGUCCCAGCACUACCCCGAAACAAGGACAAGCUUUGGCCUAGAAGCUGGGCAGCCAGGUCCUGUGCCUGUUUUUUCUCCAUAUGUGCCCUGGGCAGCUCACCCUCUCCGUCUGUGAAAUGGGAGAGCAGGGAGUCAGAGACAGCCUCCUAGGCCUGUGGCGGCUCUGAGCACAGUGGGUGCAGAUACUCAGUGCUGAGUCAAAGAGAGAGAGAACCCUGCCAGAUGGGCCAGCUCACCACAAGCAGCCAAGCCCGGUCUUUGAGGGGUUGGAGUGGGCAGGCCUUUGACCAAGGCUGAGCUAGGAGGGACCUGACGGCCCCAGAUGGAGGCUGGCCCACCCUGCCCCAGCAGAUGGGAGGCUAUUUUUUAACCCCACAGGAAGAAGAGGACAGAAAUGAUUGCAGGGGGUUAACCUAGGCCCCUGGGGACGCUCCCUGUUUGCAUCCUCCUUUCCCCACAACCCAGAGAGCUAUGUGGGCUUCACCUGGAGUUCCCUGAAUCCUUCUGGAGCUCCCCGCAGAUCACAGCCGGAGCUGGCAGGGCCUGAGUGGCCCCUGUCUGCCAGGCGAGGGACCCAGAGCCCAGAGAAGUUUGACCAGGACUGGCUUCCUCUGCCCUCUCUGCUGUGUGCUUCCACCAGUGAGAAGGGCUGAAUAUCACCUGUGAGCCUGCCCCUGCUCCCAAGAACACCCUUUGGACACCUGUGGGCUCUGCAAGGUUGGUGUAACCCCUACAGAUGAGGAAACCAGAGACAGAGAAGUGAAGUAACUCAUGCAGGUGACGGCAGAGGGCAGAGUCAGGACUUGAACCUGGAGAGCCUGGCUCUAAAGCCCAAGCUGGAAUCUCGAUACUCUACACCUCGAUAAGUUUUUGGGAAAUGACUGACUAAACAGAUGAACGCGUUUGCCCCCCCGCCGCCCCAGAGCCCCCUUAAAGCCUACAUGUGGCAGUUUGGGCCCAUUUCCUUGGCUUCCCUCCCUGGAGGGGCACCCACUGCCAGUGUCCCUGCUGAAAUUUAGCAUCAUAUUCCAUGGCGAUUUUCCACCAGUGGAAAUCACAGGUGUUCUCUGGUAUCACAGCGGGGUCAGGGAUGACCUGAAAUAUUGUUCAUGCUCAUCACAACUGCAUGGCCCACCGCGGGGUCUUGUCACUCAGUGAGUUCUUGAAGAGGCACAGACAAAUGGAGUUCAACAAAUGGAAAACAACUGCCUUUAAUUAGCUCCGAGGACUACAAAGGGAACAACGUUAUAAUAGCAGCAACUCCAAGGAAGCAGCCACAGCUCUCAGCUCUCAGACCUGGGGCUGCCGCUCAUCAUCAGCUACAGCUAGGUUUGAUGGGAGUGCCCCCAUUUCAGGGGACAGCAGGCCCCCUUCACUCCCCGACUCAGUCCCCAUCUGCAGCAGCACAGCCUUCCUUGGCCUCACCAGGGAAGAAGAACAGGCCCCGCUCUCAGACAAGCCUUCCCAGAAGCCUGAGGACUCAAACACCCAAAUGUGUCUGGGUCCCUGCCCCGAGCCGGCCACCCAGGCAGCAGCCCUGAAUCACUCGGUCAGCCAGCGGCAGGGCAGGCCAAUGGGCUGGAGGGUAGGCAGGCAGGCAGACCCACCUCUGCAUCUCUGCUGACUGCCUCGGCUGAGGAAAGGCAGCACCAGCCCCCAACCCUGAAGUUCUAGAUCUCAUGCAGCCUCUCUGUUCUGGAACCAUCCAGAGGCACUGCCCUUAUACAUGGUCCACCCCCAGGCUCAGACAAUGAGAAUUCCACAAGCAGAGGGGACUCUAUUUGGGGCACAGAGAGGUUAAGUAACUCCCCUCCUAAGGUCUCUCAGCAAGGAAGCCACUGAGCCGUGGGACUUGAGCUCAGGGACUCUUGAUCCCCAGUCUCAGGUGUCACAGCCCCAUCUGGGCUCCUGCUAGGGAGGAGGAAGGCAGCAGGGGGUGUCUGAGGCCAGGGUGCAUCAGCCCUAAAUGCCAGACAGAGGCAGGAGAAGUCUCCCCAUGAGUCCCAGCCCCAUUAGAGGCUCCAGGUCGGGGAUCCCAGACCCCCUAUCCUUGCUGGGAGACACAACCCAGAACUCUGCAUCCCUGCAGCCACCAAAAAAGGCAAAAGCUGCCCAGAAACACUUUCUCCUCUUCCGUGGCCAAAUCCACGAACUUUCUCGAGGUCUGUCCCCCUGCCCCGUGCAGGUCCAGCUUCAGUGCAGCCCAGCUCUGUGCAGUUUUCCACAAAAGCCUGUGGCUUCCUUCUCCUCCCUCUGCUUCUGAUACCCCAGGAGUUACACACAAAAUGUUGGCGGUGGUCUCCAGGAAGACCCCUGCAUCCCACAGCUCUCCCCAGAAGUUGCCAGCAGUGACCUCCUGAGCCCAGGUGGGGAGUCCCAGGCAGGACAGGGGCUGGGGCUGCAGGCCCUGGGGCCCUGUUAGUGAAGCAGCAAGCCGAGGGUCCCUGAGAGUUUCCCUUGGCCCCUCUGAGGGCUGCCCUUUGAGGUCUUGAGGUCUUGGAGUAUCCAUCGCCCCCACGGCUUACUGUCCCCACCAGCGGAGGAUGAAAGUGCCACAGCGAUGUUCCACGCCAAGAGACCACAGAGACCACCAACCCCUCUUCCCACCUCAGGCUUUCAGAGGCCAGCGGAUUUAGGCGGACAGGCUGUGCGCUUGAGGGCAGCCAGGGCGGUCAGUGGAGGGACGUGGUCCGGGGCCUGGCCACAGCUCCCCACCCAGGGCCCUGGGCUAUUGU
rnacentral:lncRNA from 1 species